AUCACUUCUUGGCCUUUUGGCUAAGAUCAAGUGUAGUACCUGUUAUAGUUUAAACUCUGGGCGGACAAGAACCUUGUCUAUAUUGUGGUGGCCCCAAUCCCU
ensembl:snRNA U2 U2 spliceosomal RNA